AUUGAACGCUGGCGGAAUGCUUUACACAUGCAAGUCGAACGGUAGAGGGGGCAACCCCUCGAGAGUGGCGAACGGGUGAGUAAUAUAUCGGAACGUGCCCAGUCGUGGGGGAUAACGUAGCGAAAGUUACGCUAAUACCGCAUACGAUCUAAGGAUGAAAGCGGGGGAUCGCAAGACCUCGCGCGAUUGGAGCGGCCGAUAUCAGAUUAGGUAGUUGGUGGGGUAAAGGCUCACCAAGCCAACGACCUGUAGCUGGUCUGAGAGGACGACCAGCCACACUGGAACUGAGACACGGUCCAGACUCCUGCGGGAGGCAGCAGUGGGGAAUUUUGGACAAUGGACGCAAGUCUGAUCCAGCCAUUCCGCGUGCAGGAUGAAGGCCCUCGGGUUGUAAACUGCUUUUGUACGGAACGAAAAGGUCUCUCUUAAUACGGGGGACUCAUGACGGUACCGUAAGAAUAAGCACCGGCUAACUACGUGCCAGCCGCCGCCGUAA
rnacentral:rRNA from 1 species